rnacentral:SRP_RNA from 1 species
GCUGGGCGCAGUGGCACAUGCCUGUAGUCCCAGGUACUCGGGAGGCUGAGGCGGGAGGAUUGCUUGAGUCUGGGAGUUCUAGGCUGCAGUGAGCUAUGCGGAUCGGGUGUCUACACUAAGUUCGGCAUCAAUAUGGUGACGUCCUGGGAGGGGGGACCUCCAGGUUCCCUAAGGAGAGGUGAACCGGCCCAGGUUGGAAAUGGAACAGGUCAAAACUCCUGUGCUGAUCAGAUAGAAAUCUUAGGGGAUAUGGUCUCAAAGUCCUUGUAUUCCAUUUUAUUUUCUGACUUGU